rnacentral:rRNA from 1 species
GUUUGCCUAGGGCGCAGCAGUGGGGGAUAUUGCACAAUGGGGGAAACCCUGAUGCAGCGACGCCGCGUGGGUGAAGAAGCGCCUCGGCGCGUAAAGCCCUGUCAGCAGGGAAGAAAGUGACGGUACCUGAUGAAUAAGCUCCGGCUAACUACGUGCCAGCAGCCGCGGUAAUACGUAGGGAGCAAGCGUUAUCCGGAUUUACUGGGUGUAAAGGGCGCGUAGGCGGGAUGGCAAGUCAGAUGUGAAAUCCGGGGGCUCAACCCCUGAACUGCAUUUGAAACUGUCGUUCUUGAGUACUGGAGAGG